UAUGAAAGAUACAUCAAAAUGCUUUGGAUUAAAGCCCUCUUUCUCUCACCACCUUCUCCUCCCCAAGGCUAACAACUUCAUUACAGAGAGAGGUACAGGCACAGUCAAAAUGGCAAAGAGAAGCCCAUGGCACAGACAAGGAACUUCACAGGCAAGCCUCACUCCUGAGGAAAGCAAUGCACAGUUACAGUCUCAUCUUACUCAAGAUCUUUUGUGAAAUGAGGAACUGAAGGACGAGGCAUACCUCAUCUGCCCUAAAAACUGAUGAC
rnacentral:lncRNA from 14 species